ACAGGUGAUGGUGAGGUUGGUACAGGUGGUAUAGUGAGUGUGACUGUGAGGUUGAGAGUGGUACAGGUGGUAUAAUGUGGGUGAUUGUGUGGGUGAGGGUGGUACAGGUGGUAUAGUGUGGGUGGUACAGGUGAGGGUGGUACAGGUGGUAUAGUGAGGGUGGUACAGGUGAGGGUGGUACAGGUGGUAUAGUGAGGGUGGUACAGGUGAGGGUGGUACAGGUGGUAUAGUGAGGGUGGUACAGGUGAGGGUGGUACAGGUGGUAUAGUGAGGGUGGUACA